AGGAUGAAUUUGCACAGCUAGCUCGGAGGCAUUCCAAAACACAGUCAAGUCCAUCUCAAAGUACAUAUGGAACCAGUGAGGCUUUUGUGCCAGCGGAUGCCAAUAAUACAGUGUCUUCUACCACCACUGUUUCAAACCCUGCUUCAUGCACUGCGCUAGCUCUUCCUGAUCCACCUGCACCAGUUAGGACUACAAAAGAGCAAAAUAUAAUUGACCUUUUGAGCAUCACCUUAUCAACACCAACAUCCCAUCAACCCCACACACCUCAUACUCCAACUGCUGCUAACCAGAGCAUGCCUCAA
rnacentral:misc_RNA from 1 species